UCAAAGUUUAAAAAAACACUGAAUUUUUCAUGUUAAUAAGCAUGUUGGUGAGCCAGACAGUGGUGCACACCUUUUAAUCCCAACACUUAGGAGGCAAAGGCAGGUGAAUCUCUAUGAGUUUGAGGCCAGAGUGAGUUCCAGGACAGCCGAGACUACCCAGAGAAACCCUUUCUGGAAAAGCAAAAACAUAUUGGUGCACUUCUCUUUAGUUAUGUAGACAGCUGUUGGUUGUUUGCUUAUAAUGUAUUGGCUGGUUGGGAAAUUUUGUCUUAUUGCUUACACUCUUACCUUAGUGCCAUCUAAAUCACCACUGUAUGAUUUCCUAUUUAUAAUUUAUCAUUUUCUCUGUCGUUAGAUGAAACAUCCCUUAAAGCAUGCCACAGCAAGGUGAGCAAAAGUCAGGCUUGCAAAAUUUUGGAAAAAUAAUUGCAAAGCUUCAUUAAAGAAUAAUGAAAGUUGAUUCAUAUAGUAUCAGCGCUGCCCAGUUUAGCAAACAUCAUUAUUCCAAGUCAUAUUUAGAGGCACCCAAACUUCAGCAUUUAUAUUUCUCAAGCAAUCUUUUAGGGAAUAACAACAACAACAACAAAACUCCUUUAGUAAAGGCUCUAAAAGUAAAAUCACUAAUUCCCAUUUUUUUUUUAUUUCAUGAGGGCUAAGAUAGAAACAAUGGACAUUUUAAAACAGGGAACACAGAUUCCUUUCACUCUGCUGUAGCUUUAGCAUUCCACCUUGGUAGCCAGCCAGAAGUUUUGGCUUCUGGGGCCAGUUGCCUUUUGCAUGCUGAUUUUCCUGAUGAAGUCCCCCAAGAGUUUCUUCUUUGGAGCAGAGUCUAUGGACUUCAGCCCUGUAGCGAGUGGGAUAGCAGAGUGCGGGAUGCAAACAUUGAGGGAACAGUCUCUCACAGACGAAUCAGUAACAUAGUCCCAUUUUAGGUUUCUGGCUGCCAGCAAACGUACCUGUUAGGCCCUUAUCACUGAAGGAUCACAACCAGGACUUCAGCAAAAAUACUGAGUGUUCUGGCCCAGCACUUUGCAGCAAAUAAGUGAAGCACAGGAAUGCAUAUUUAUGCACACGUGCAAACCAUGUGUCUGUGUUCCCACAUUCAAGUAUUUAUAGAACUAGUAAUAGCAAGAAUGGUCAAAAAGAUUUUGUGGUCUUUUUUCAUAAACACUGUUCAAUAUUGUUUAUUCCAACCAUUCACAACGAAAGGGAAUAAUAAGGCCAGACUCAAGUCCCCAGAAAUGGUAUUAUUGAGUAUGUGUGGUAAAACUGGGAGAUAUUUAUUGUUGGUAAUAGACUUUAGGUGAGAGUUGUGUUGGUAUUGAAACUGCAUCAAAUCUAAAAUGGUCUUUCGAGAGGAAGUGGUUAUUUUGGUGUGUCUUGUGGCCAGUUUCAAUUAGUCAUAAAUUAGAGAGUGCCACACUUUUUUGAAAGGAUCAAAAGCCAACACUUGGCCUUAAACUCCCUCACCUCUGCCCUUGCUGACCCUAACAAGAAGUCAUCGCUCUUUGUGAACUCAGCAGUUGCUAUCAGGUCUUGCCAUUCCACUGCAGAAAAGAGCCGGAGCUGUCAGCCUGUCAGGAGGAGAUUGAGGAGCCAGGGGCUUUCUGUAGAGUGCCAGCCUUCUGCCCAUAAAGAAUUCUCUAAACUCAUCAAUGCAAAAUUGACAUGUUUUAAAGUGUCCAGUGAAAGGCUCAGAAGCCGGUUUGCUGCCGCUUGACGACUGUGCUCUCGUUGCUCAGAUUCUAUUUUCCAUUUUCCUUCAGUUCUUCAGCACUUAUCUGUAUACUCGAUAGUAUACUAGACAAACAACUCUCCUGUCCUCAGUCAGCACAGAGCUCACAGCUGUGGUGUCGUGGUACUUGAUGCUGUGAUUAAUUGCCAAUUACAAACAUCUGAUGAAUAUUUUAAACCCUUCCUUAGAUGACUUGUUUUAUAGCUGACAUAUAUGGUUAGUUGAAAAGACCGAGGCUAUGAAGUUUGUUGUCACAAAAAGCAGAAUUGAGUCCAAGUGUCAUGCUUUCCUGAUCUCUAAUGAGUAUUUUGCUCUUUUGAUACCUAAACCAUACCUGUGCCUUAUGGUCCAACUCAGUUCCGGCCUCGUACCCAGUCCUUCGCUGGCAGUCCUCGCUGAGACCCACCUCAUGGCCUAUGACCAACGCCGCUGGAGUGUCAUCAGAUGCAGCAUUCAUGCCCUGACUUCACAUCAGAGCUUAUAUGCAUUGCUUCUUCAGCCUUUCUUGCAGUACCUAGAACAGUGCUGAGCACAUGUGGAAGCUCAGUGGUAGCAAUGAGUAGCACCAACCUAAGGCAUCUCGUCAGUACCCCAGAAGCAUGCAGCUUAACUUCCAGGCAGGCCAUUCCAGGAAUACAUUGGUCAGCUGGUGGCUUGGCGAUUGAAAUCACUGUUGACUACCACCCACAGAAAAAUGUGAAGCAAAUUAUAUGCCUUAUCAUUUCCAUUAGGGAAUUACUAGUGAGUAUAAAAAGGGGGAAAUUAAUGGACUAGAUAAAGAAAAGAAAUACAGAACAGAGGAAAAGAACUGGUUUGGAAAAGGCAAAACCCAAAUCCUAGCAUUCUCAUUCUUGGAUGUAAUAUGUUUCCUUUUUUCAUGACAAAACAUCAAAGAGUCCUUGCAAAUCAUUUAAUUGAUGGUUGUUGGCCCAUCUUAUUGCUGUGUGCAGAAAUAACUGUCUGUUUCAGUUUGAAUUAGGAACAAACUGGAAGGGCAGUUGCUUUGGAGAAAAUCAGUAAAUGCAGAAGCCUAGUAACACUGGUAUAUUGUGGCAGUGAGAAAUGACAACUCAAAAAGAGGCUAUCUUCUCACUUAUUGGUCAUGCUCUCAGCUUCCAUGGGAUUUCUCACUUUAUAGGCUGGGCUUCCCACUGGCAGCAGCUGAAGCAGGUUAUUAUGUACAUGUGUCACGUGGUCCACUUCAUCACCCAAAUGGAACUGGGAGAGUAAGUCCCCCUAACAAGCCCCUUCAGUACAGUCAUAAAAACUACUUACAGAUGUACUCUUCCUCUGUAGGGACACAAGGAGUUUCCUUGUGCUGUGCCCCAUGAUACAGGAAAUGCAUUAUCCCCAUCCAAAUUCAGGCAUAUGAGGAGGAAGCAUGUGAAAAGAAAGCAGCUCACAAAAGCUCACACAGCGUUUGGAAAAGUCCUCAGAGGGGCUCACAUACCCGUUUAUGAUAACGGCAGAUAAAAUCCCGUCUCUGAAGCUCAGUUCAUUUCAAAUGCUAAUGUCCACACAGGGAAAGGAAACCACAUCAGCAUUCAGCUUUGACACAAACACUGCUAAUCCUUUUUAUUUAUGAUUGUCACUGAGCCCCUCUGCAGCAUGCCAGGUCUCCAUUUGUCUUCCAGCGUUGGCUACUUUGUGUGCUUCACUCGGAGGUUAGUUGUACUUUUUAAGUACUGUUUUGGAUCUUGAAUCGGGAGCCAGUAUGUUCAUAUUCAGAUCAGCUUGAAUUGGAUAUUUCUGUAGAAUCAUCCUGUUCAGAGUUAGAUUUGUCUGCCAUUGUUAAAUCUCCUGUUUCACAUGGUGUGGUCAAUUCAUGAUUAAUGCAGUCAACGAACAAAUACUAAAAUGUAACCCGUGUCCCACUAUCCUAGGCACUGGCGAUACCACAGGGAAUAGAGUCCUAUAUUUAUACAGAUAAUAAUUUAGAGGGGAGUCAGGAAACAGAGAAAUAUGUCAGACAGUCUGUCAGUCAGGAUAGAUUACAUUGUUUUGUGGCAAUAAACACCUUCGUCUCGCAGAGGCUUGAAACAGCAAUGUUUAUUCCAGGGGGGGCUGGAGAAAUAACUCAGUGGUUAAGAGCGCUAUCCUCCCAGAGGACCCAGGUUUAGUUCCCAGCAACCAUGUCAGUUCGAAAAACAAAAACAACAACAAAGUUUAUUCUUUAUCACAGCGUAUUCACUGAAGGGCAGAAGGAGGGACUCUCCUCUGGGUCACUUCCAUCCAGCACCCAGGCUACCCAGAGAACCACCAUGGAGUAAGGCUAGUCUCGGGUAGAAGAUCAAAUGGUGUCUGUGGAGUCGGAAAGGGACAUCAGACCCCCUCAUGAAAUCGGAGGUGCAAGCAACUGUGAGCCACUGGGUGUGGAUGCAGGAUGAAAACCAAACACAAGCCCUUUGGAAGAGCAGCAGAUGCGCUUAGUCACUGAGAUACUUCUCAAGCCCUCUCCAUUUCUAAACAGAUUCUAACUUACAGAAAAGGGUUCCAGCCCAAAACUACGUAUUUAAAUUAUCAGUCAUGUCUUAA